rnacentral:rRNA from 1 species
UGGGGAAUUUUGGACAAUGGGCGAAAGCCUGAUCCAGCAAUGCCGCGUGUGUGAAGAAGGCCUUCGGGUUGUAAAGCACUUUUGUCCGGAAAGAAAUCCUUGGCUCUAAUACAGUCGGGGGAUGACGGUACCGGAAGAAUAAGCACCGGCUAACUACGUGCCAGCAGCCGCGGUAAUACGUAGGGUGCAAGCGUUAAUCGGAAUUACUGGGCGUAAAGCGUGCGCAGGCGGUUUGCUAAGACCGAUGUGAAAUCCCCGGGCUCAACCUGGGAACUGCAUUGGUGACUGGCAGGCUAGAGUAUGGCAGAGGGGGGUAGAAUUCCACGUGUAGCAGUGAAAUGCGUAGAGAUGUGGAGGAAUACCGAUGGCGAAGGCAGCCCCCUGGGCCAAUACUGACGCUCAUGCACGAAAGCGUGGGGAGCAAACAGGAUUAGAUACCCUGGUAGUCCACGCCCUAAACGAUGUCAACUAGUUGUUGGGGGAUUCAUUUCCUUAGUAACGUAGCUAACGCGUGAAGUUGACCGCCUGGGGAGUACGGUCGCAAGAUUAAAACUUAAAUGAAUUGACGGGGUCAUA